UCCCUGGUGGUCCAGUGGCUAAGACACCACGUUCCCAAUGCAGGGGGCCUGGGUUCAAUCCCUGGUCAGGGAA
rnacentral:tRNA from 1 species